rnacentral:rRNA from 1 species
GCAAGUCGAGGGGUAACAGAUGAAGAGCUUGCUCAGAUUGCUGACGACCGGCGCACGGGAGAGUAACGCGUAUGCAACCUACCUUAUACUGGGGGAUAGCCCAGAGAAAUCUGGAUUAAUACCGCAUACCAUAUUUGAAUCGCAUGGUUGAAAUAUUAAAACUCCGGUGGUAUAAGAUGGGCAUGCGUAGCAUUAGUUAGUUGGUGAGGUAACGGCUCACCAAGGCUAUGAUGCUUAGGGGGUCUGAGAGGAUGAUC